AGAGGUGAUCCCUCUCUCUUGUCUCACUCCGCAGAGCAUGAUGAGUGGGAGGGAGGCUGCGGGCCGUUCUCCAAGAGUUUUGAAAGAGCCACAGACAUCCACAGCACCGGAUGGGGAAGUCGAAUCAGAGACCUGGACUCUGCUGCGUACUUCAGGGUGACCUUCGGCAGGUUCCCUAAUACCUGGGAGCCUCGUAGGAGCGAAAUGGAAGCAAUUUCCAAGCCUCCUGUUACCAUGUAGACUAAAAUGCUGUGCACUGUGAUCUCGAAUAUGUGGCCCUCUCCAUGUGAACCGUGUGCAUGAAAGCUUCUUGCAAACCCGAAACUGGUCCCAGGAGUCAAACCUACGUUCUAGUCCCCUCUGUUCCAUUGACGUGCCGUGUGGCCUUGGCUGAAGCCCUCUCCCUCCCUGAGCCUCAGUUUCCCCACGUGUGCCCGGAGGGGCUUGACCUAAAAGCUUUCCAAAAGAUUUUCUCACUGCAGAAAUCAGCGACUGAUUCAUGCCAAAUGCCAGCAAAUUCCCCCUCCCAGAGUCCGAAUUAUUCCAGAGACUUAGUCAUCCCAGAGUUUGAACUUUCUCGCAAAAACCAUCUGACAAACUCUUCCAGCUUAAAAAAAAAAAAAAAGAAGAAGAAGAAAAGAAAAGCUAUUAAAAGAAAGUAAAAGUUUCAAAACCAAAUCCUAAGCAAACAACCCCGAAAACAAUACAUACACACGCUCACAGCACCCAAGGUAACGCCAAGAACAGGAUAUGAAACCUUGCAGGCCGGCACUAAGAAAUGAUUCACAGGCUUUUCGAGAUGCUUCUAUUUCAAGGCACGAUCCGCCCACUGGAUCGGGCGGCUCCAAAAACAAAAUAAACCUUAAAGAAGCUGCCGUUUCUUAUCUCAACACACAGUUGGCCUUGCCAGCAUCGCCAGAUCUCAAGGGCUCCAGCCAGAAGACAAAGUUGGGUCCUGUGAAUUCCCUUUCUGUUCUGUUUCGAGUCUCAAGCUGCUGGCUUGUUUUUUGCAUCCACCUUUGGUUGGCUGAGCUUAAAGCAACACCGCCUUAACUGAUGUGAGUUCCUACGUUUAGUUUAGCAAGGCCUCUGUGUGACUCUGUCCUGCCGGAUCCCAGGCGGGUCAUUCUAGCAGCUGUCGCCAACUAAACAAUCCUGCCUGGCUUGGGGAUUGUGCAAAUCAACAUUAUUCUUGCCCCAGGCCAGGAAACAUUACUUUAGGCACGCCAUCCAAAGCUCCAUGCUCUUAGGUAAAAUAGAAAUAUAGAAGUAUUUAUUCACUGAAUGAAAUGCUGAUUGAGUACCCACUGAGCUAGACACGGGGGUUGCACCGGGCUACAAGGAAGCCUCUGCCUUCAAGGAGCCUUGUUGAGUAAGAAAGGCACUUGAGUUAAAUAAAGUAGAAAAGAAUGGAACUAAUCCCUACAGGAAAUGCCCUGCAGAAAAGGCGAUACCAAUGUUGGAGCAAAAUUUAAAGAAAUGCAAACACUUGUGAUCUGGUUAAACCGGAGAUAUGUCUGCUGAGCCCAGGCCUGACACAUGGUUUGUGCUUGAUGAAGGUUUGCUAAACCAAACAGUGACAGAGUGUGUUGAAUUCUGUCCUCCUAAAAAGAUGGGAGAGUGAGUCGAAGUGACGAACAGCAGCCCUUUCCCGGUCUCCCCGUGAAUCAGGGCUGGAACUGGGAGCCGGGCCUCCUGUUACACCCAAAUGCUGCCUCUCCAGGCCACAGCUCAGAUGCACAGCGGGGCCAGCCCAGUGACCCCCCCCCCCCACCUCGGCACGCUUGAGGCCUCCCAUGCCACCGUCCUGCUUGAGAACCACCAUGACCUUCCUCCCAGAAGACAACUCCAGGGAAGAGGGAAUUGGUUCGUUGUUCUCUGAACUAACGUUUUUUAAGCACCUACUAUGGGCCAGGCAUCGUACUUGGCUUUGGGAAUCCUGGAGGGACCAGGAUGUCAGACUCCCUCUCUUCUGGAAACUUAACAUUUGUAUGGGAGGGGCAGAUCAUAAACAAGAAAGCAAAUCCGUCAAUGGGAAAAUGUCAGGGUGAGUUCUCGGGUGGAAAUAGAAGGGGCGAGGAGGUAGAGACAGAGCGCACGUGUUUCUAACCAGAUCGGGCAGUUGGAUGGGAUCCUAAAGAGGCAAUAUUUGAACGGAGACCCCAGAGAGGUGAGAACCGAGAGGAUUCACACUAAGUGAUCCUGGUUGAUUGCCAAGUGUGCAGUGUGAAUGCCAGACAGCAGCAGGAAGGGAGAAAAGCGGGUUACCUGAGUGUCCGCCUCAGCACAGUUUGGCUAUGACUAAGUAGACAAAGGCGAUGUUCACAUGUUCGCGCACCCUUGGAACCCGCCGCGUCUUCUUCUCAGCAUGUAGGUGUCUUGCUCUGUUUAAUCCUCCUGGUCAAGGAGGGGCUAUCAUUUCCACUAUUCUACCCAUAAGGAAACCGAGGCUCAGAGAGGUGAACGGACUUGCCUAAGUCCCAUAGCCAGAAGGUGGUAGAGCAGGAGCUUGAAUCCAGUCCUCCCGGGGUCUACGGCUUUAACCAUGGCCCAGCUUGGCCUAAUUCACUGUCUGCCCACACAUUAGGUGCUCAGCUAAACGGAUGUCUGCUUGUGUUUGGGGAGACAGAGCUCUGGUCAGCUGUUUAGCUGUUCCAGACCCUCAGCACGACUGCUCCUUGAGGGGCACCCGAGGACUUGUGCUUACCUUUCCCUGCCUUGCUCCCACCAACCUUCCAAAAUAAAUCCCUGAUGUCCCAAGGGGGGGUGAAAAUGAAUGUGCUGGCAGGAGUCACAACAGCGUCUGCAAUCCUCUUCGUGGAUUGUGAAACUAGACAAGUUCUGAGACCAUGAGUCACCAAUGUUACGUCAAGAAGGAAAUUGCAGACAAGUAAUCGCUAGGAACACCGCUUCACGGAGCCUCCUUCCCUGGCUGUGUCACCCCGGGCCCCUGACCCUAUGUUUUAGUCACGGCAGGCAUCUGGAAUACAGAUGGGAGCCCCGUUUCUCUUCCCCCCACGCCCAGGGCACCCUCUUCCCAGGUCCUCUGUCUCUCUGAGAGUUGGGUUUUGCACUCCCUAAGCUGCACCAUGAGCCUCCUGGACUUUUCGUAGAUGAUGGUUCCUGUGGAGAGGUCUGGGUUCGAAUCCUGACUCAGUCGCUCAGCAGCUGAGUGCCUUUGGCAAGUUUCUGGACCCCAGCAUCCUUACUCAGGGGUUAACUAGAACAACAGAUGCCCGUCUUCUAAGGCUUCAAGAGGGCAGUGUCCUUGUGUCUGUGUUCACUGCUGUAUCUGCUUCCAAUGGUAUGACAUCAAUGACUAAAUAUUCGCCGAAUGAAUGAGAGUUCUAAUAUAGGACCUGGAUGUAUAGUAGGUUCUUAGUACCCGGUGGCUGUUAUUAUUAAUACUAAUUCCUAAAAGAAAGCCUACUGAGCAGCUGACCUCAGAAUCCUUCUGUUCAGUCUGUAUCUCUCUCGGUAUCAGUGAAGAUGCUGGUAUGUCCGUCGGUCCUAGAGUCCCAGAACCUGGACACCUGGGCUGGUAAGAAGGGGGCUGGGCAGACAAGACCCAGAUCUUACAAAACAGGAAGGAGAUUGGGGCACCAAGGGAUACAGGGACCUUCUUUCUGCAGCAGGGGUGACAGACAGAGAGCACCUUGAUAAAAAUUAGGAAACUGGCCCCUUGCAUCAGCCAAGGUUCCCAUAGGAAACAGAUGGCUGGCCAGGAGGGGCAAAGGAAGAGAGAGUUUUGUGAAGGACCUUAAUCUCUAAGGGGGUUGGUAGGGUUAAGGGAGGGAGGGGCAUCCAGGACCAGCCCCAGACGGAAGUGCUGGCCUCUGAUAGCCUGGCCAGGGGUGGCUUCGGGAAAGGAUCUGUGGCCUGGGGCAGAAGAACUCUGCACAGUCAACCCAGCCAAUGAGGAGGAGCAGCCCAGGGCAAUAGAUCCCCGACCCUCCAUUCCUUUCCUCACUAGUGUCUCCCUGGAGCUUCCAUCGGCCCAACACACGUGGAAGCAGGGGUCCUGGCCCUGGGUGGAGGGGGUAUGGUGGGUCUGGAGGCACACUUGUGGAGAACACACAGCAUGCCUCUUUGUGUGUUUUGUUUUGUUUUGCUUUGGUUUUUAGCAUAUCUGAACGGGGGACUUUGCAUACAGUACUUAAUUCUUGUGUGUCCUACAUAUAUUCUUAUAAUUGCUCUAGGAGGUGAGGAAACCAAAAUUCAAAGAGACAAAGUGAGUUGCCCCACCUUCUGACCCCAAAACCAUGAUCUCUCUUUCCUUUCUUCCUUCCU